UACGGAGGGAGCUAGCGUUGUUCGGAAUUACUGGGCGUAAAGCGCACGUAGGCGGCUUUGUAAGUUAGAGGUGAAAGCCUGGAGCUCAACUCCAGAAUUGCCUUUAAGACUGCAUCGCUUGAAUCCAGGAGAGGUGAGUGGAAUUCCGAGUGUAGAGGUGAAAUUCGUAGAUAUUCGGAAGAACACCAGUGGCGAAGGCGGCUGACUGGACAUGUAUUGACGCUGAGGUGGCGAAAGCG
rnacentral:rRNA from 1 species